rnacentral:rRNA from 1 species
UACGUAGGGGGCUAGCGUUGUCCGGAAUCAUUGGGCGUAAAGCGCGUGUAGGCGGUCCGGUAAGUCUGCUGUGAAAGUCGGGGGCUCAACCCUCGGAAGCCGGUGGAUACUGCUGGGCUAGAGUGCGGAAGAGGCGAGUGGAAUUCCUGGUGUAGCGGUGAAAUGCGCAGAUAUCAGGAGGAACACCAAUUGCGAAGGCAGCUCGCUGGGACGUGACUGACGCUGAGGCGCGACAGCGUGGGGAGCAAACAGG